GGGGGUGACUGGUUUCGACAUGGUAGGUUAGAAGUGAGGAGCAGGUCGUGGUCUCCUUUCCACGUUAAACAGGGGUACUGCUAAAUAUUAAUUGGCAAGAACUUCACCGCUACUCGCGGCACUGCUCUGGCUGCUGCUUAAGCACCCAGGCCGUCGACCAAGGGUUCUUCCCCGCCCCUUGGAAGAUGUCAUGCUAGGGGAACGCUCCUUGGCACGUGGCCGGUAUGGCCAAGGCUAAGAUGAACCGACUAGGGCGCAUUUCGUUGGCAAGCGAACCUCAGCGCGCCCGAAGCACGAUCGCUUGCUAAGCUUGUAGAGCCUGACGGACAGCCUAGUAUGGACCGGAGUUCGAUUCUCCGCACCUCCACCA
rnacentral:tmRNA from 1 species